rnacentral:rRNA from 1 species
GACGAACGCUGGCGGCGUGCUUAACACAUGCAAGUCGAACGGAAAGGCCCUGCUUUUGUGGGGUGCCCGAGUGGCGAACGGGUGAGUAACACGUGAGUAACCUGCCCUUGACUUUGGGAUAACUUCAGGAAACUGGGGCUAAUACCGGAUAGGAGCUCCUGCUGCAUGGUGGGGGUUGGAAAGUUUCGGCGGUUGGGGAUGGACUCGCGGCUUAUCAGCUUGUUGGUGGGGUAGUGGCUUACCAAGGCUUUGACGGGUAGCCGGCCUGAGAGGGUGACCGGCCACAUUGGGACUGAGAUACGGCCCAGACUCCUACGGGAGGCAGCAGUGGGGAAUAUUGCACAAUGGGCGGAGGCCUGAUGCAGCAACGCCGCGUGCGGGAUGACGGCCUUCGGGUCGUAAACCGCUUUCGCCUGUGACGAAGCGUGAGUGACGGUAAUGGGUAAAGAAGCACCGGCUAACUACGU